rnacentral:rRNA from 1 species
UACAGAGGAUGCAAGCGUUAUCCGGAAUGAUUGGGCGUAAAGCGUCUGUAGGUGGCUUUUUAAGUCCGCCGUCAAAUCCCAGGGCUCAACUCUGGACAGGCGGUGGAAACUACCAAGCUGGAGUACGGUAGGGGCAGAGGGAAUUUCCGGUGGAGCGGUGAAAUGCGUAGAGAUCGGAAAGAACACCAACGGCGAAGGCAGCUCGCUGGGACGGUACUGACGCUGAGACGCGAAAGCGUGGGGAGCAAACAGG